rnacentral:rRNA from 1 species
CUACGUAGGGAGCGAGCGUUGUCCGGAUUUACUGGGUGUAAAGGGUGCGUAGGCGGGUCCGCAAGUCAGACGUGAAAUAACGGGGCUUAACUCCGGGGCCGCGUUUGGAACUGUCGAUCUUGAGUGGAGUAGAGGUUAUCGGAAUUCCCGGUGGAGCGGGGAAAUGCGUAGAGAUCGGGAGGAACACCAGUGGCGAAGGCGGGUAACUGGACUGCAACUGACGCUGAGGCGCGAAAGUGUGGGGAGCAAACAGGAUUAGAUACCCUGGUAGUCCACACUGUAAACGAUGAAUGCUAGGUGUAAGAGGUAUCGACCCCUUUUGUGCCGGAGUCAACACAAUAAGCAUUCCGCCUGGGGAGUACGGCCGCAAGGUUGAAACUCAAAUGAAUUGACGGGG